CCUAAUAUAUUUGCUAUGCUCAAAAGAUGUUAAUUUUGGUCUGACCCUUCGCUCUGCGUGUAAGUCAUGCUGUGAUUUAUACUGUGGGUGUUUACUGGUGCUUUUUAGGGCAGUGAGACAAAGUAGAAAGCAUGUGCACAGAGACUGUCAUUGUGCAGCUCAGUUGUCACACUCAGGGUGAAGCAGCUGACCGAUGAGGAGGAGUGUUGUAUCUGCAUGGACGGCCGAGCUGACCUCAUCCUGCCCUGUGCUCACAGCUUCUGUCAGAAGUGUAUUGAUAAAUGGAGUGAUCGACACAGGAACUGCCCCAUUUGUCGCCUACAGAUGACUGGAGCGAAUGAAUCGUGGGUGGUGUCAGACGCGCCCACUGAAGAUGACAUGGCUAACUAUAUUCUUAACAUGGCCGAUGAGGCAGGCCAGCCCCACAGGCCAUGACUUGGGGGAAGACUUUCUGUUGUUAUUCCGAACUAUAAAUACACUGUUGUCAUAGAGGAGGAGGGGAGGGACAGUGUGGCACACACAGAAAUAUCAGUUUCCCCACCCUCUUAUUUUUGCUAUUCUGAUAAUAUGUCCCAUUCUUAAAUAAACUCCCAUGUCUUCCAUG
rnacentral:lncRNA from 1 species